rnacentral:rRNA from 1 species
UACGUAGGGGGCAAGCGUUGUCCGGAUUUAUUGGGCGUAAAGGGCGUGUAGGCGGUCAAGUAAGUGGAAUGUGAAAGCCCCCGGCUUACCCGGGGAUCUGCAUCCCAAACUGCUUGGCUUGAGUACGGGAGAGGAUAGGGGAAUUCCUGGUGUAGCGGUGAAAUGCGUAGAUAUCAGGAGGAACACCGGUGGCGAAGGCGCCUAUCUGGCCCGAUACUGACGCUGAGGCGCGAAAGCUAGGGGAGCAAACGGG